AAAAAGGGCUUCUGUUGUUAAGUGGCACACAUGUGGAAUCGACAUCAAGAGAUUUUAGAAGCGUAAUUUUUGUUAUCUGGGCUGCUAGUGAUCGUUGGUCCUGGUGCCCUA
rnacentral:snRNA from 1 species